rnacentral:miRNA from 1 species
AAGCUGUGAGAAGAAUGGUUGGACCGCUAUAUAUCCAGUAGUAGCUAGUUAGGCACUGCCGCCCUGUUGAAUCUUGUUCAUCCUCG